rnacentral:antisense_RNA from 1 species
UUUUUUUGAGACAGGGUCUGGCAGCCUCGAACCCCUGGAGGCUUAGGUGAUCCUCCCACCUCAGCCCCCAAGUAGCUGGGACCACAGGCUCAGCUAAUUUUUACUUUUUUUUUUUAUUUUGCAGAUAUCAACCUCUCUGUGUUUCCUAGGCUGGUCUCAAACUCCUGGACUCAAGCAAUCCUCCUGCCUUAGCCUCCACAAGUGCUGGGAUUACAGGCAUGAGCAACUGCAUCCAGCUAAACAACCUCUCUUCUUGCAACACUGUUUCCUUGUGAGCUCAUUAACAUGCUAAUUACCAGAUUCCACAGGAAGAUGGAUUACAGAGCAAUAAGACAGGCUGGGUUCACCCUGGAAUGUGACCAGUAGUGACAGCCUCUAUAACAAUGACACAGGUGGGGACCACCAUCGGAAGAUGGAGAUUCUGGGGAACUGCUACCAGCUGCAGGGCUGAGAGUGACAUAUCUGACAUUUGUUCAUUGUUCAUCUGUUCAUACAGUCAUUCUUGCAUGAGUUUACUGGACACCUGCUGUGAGCAGGCACUGAGUGGCAUAAAAAUUCCUAGAACAGUCUCAUCAGAGAAAAGACACACACAGAAAGAGAAAUUAUACUACAAUGCAGUUAUGGAAACUCAUUCAACAAAAUUUUACUGAAUGCUUACUUACUAUUUGUCAGGUACCGUUAUCGAUGCUGGGAAAAGAGAAAAGGACAUCAUUUUGCCCUCAGGGAGCUCAUAGUCUAACGGAGAGAGAGACAUGUGAACAACUACAACGUCUAUGGUAUAAGAAAACACUAAAUUGGAGACAUGUUCAAAGUAGUGCAGGGGAGGGAGCGGAGUGAGACUUCCUGGGGUCAUCCAGAAGGGCUUCCCGGCAGGAACUCGGAAACGGGACCCAGAAAGUUGUUUUCUGCAAGUGGAUGGAACAACACAAGCAAUCAGUAUCCUGAAACAGGCCCUG